UAAACGCUGGGCAUGGGGACCCAACGGCACCGCUCAAGCCCAUCAUGGCCAUCUGAACUCUAUGGACAAAUUAAAAGUGAAUCGCCUCCUCACACACACACACUCCUCACUGGCUCACUGUAACAGUGCUGCAGAG
rnacentral:lncRNA from 1 species